UACGUAGGGUGCGAGCGUUAAUCGGAAUUACUGGGCGUAAAGCGUGCGCAGGCGGCGCGUUAAGACAGGUGUGAAAGCCCCGAGCUUAACCUGGGAAUUGCGCUUGUGACUGGCGAGCUGGAGUGUGGCAGAGGGAGGUGGAAUUCCACGUGUAGCAGUGAAAUGCGUAGAGAUGUGGAGGAACACCGAUGGCGAAGGCAGCCUCCUGGGCCAGCACUGACGCUCAUGCACGAAAGCGUGGGGAGCAAACAGG
rnacentral:rRNA from 1 species